GAAACUUCUCAGGGAGAGCUGGGC
rnacentral:piRNA from 1 species